rnacentral:lncRNA from 1 species
CUCGCCUACCUUGCCCAGCCAGGCUCCCAUCUCUCACCAGCAGGCCCUCUCUUCCCUUUGGAGCCUGCAAGGCUCACUGUGUCCUCAGGCCCCCUGGGGCCCCCUGCACCCCCAGGCCUGCCAGCCCCUCCCUCUUCGGGCUCUUCCCUCGGCGCCUGGCCUCCCUCUCUGCGAUUCACUCUUCCUUUACUCGGGAUCCCCCUUCUGGCCCUUCUCUGGCCUCCAGCCACCUGGGCAGACUUCUCAACUGUCCCUACAUCUUUCCUGCCCCGUCACCUGCUCCUUCCAUCUCCCCACCUUUGGGUCAUUUUGCAGACCGUUCCAGGGGCCCAAUGCCCCUGCCACCAGCGGGCACCCGGCCCGCUCAGAGCUCUGUGAGUCAGGCACCUGCUGGACGCAGGGAGCAGCCCAGGGUGGGCAGCUGUGGGGCCGCCUGGCGGGCCCUCCAGCGCUCCGGGAAGUCCCCUUCUCCACAGACAGAAGCCAGGAAAGACUGGACUGGCCAGAAAUGGGGGCACCCACCUCUGUACUCUUCUGUCUGCCCAACUGGGCCAGACAGCUCGAGUUGGGGCAGUCCCAAAGUGACAGCGUGUCCCCCGAGGAAGACUCCUCAGUCUUGACACCGCCUUCCUGCGGGCUGAGCGCCCUUGACCUGAGAACACUCCCUCGCACUGGUGCUUCUUCCCUGGAUUGAGGGUCUGGGGAGCCCGGAUCCCGCCUGCUGAUGGUCUCAAGUUUGCAAAUGUUUGUGAAGUGAAUGCAAUUUAUCAGGAAUCUACAACCUUAGGCUCUGACUUUUAAUGCCAAGGGC